UACAGAGGAGGCAAGCGUUGUUCGGAAUCACUGGGCUUAAAGCGCGCGUAGGCGGCGCGGUAAGUGUUCUGUGAAAUCCCACGGCUCACCCGUGGAACUGCAGGGCAUACUGCCGUGCUUGAGGCAGGUAGGGGCCACUGGAACUCUCGGUGGAACGGUGAAAUGUGUAGAUAUCGAGAGGAACGCCCGAGGCGAAAGCGGGUGGCUAGGCCUGUCCUGACGCUGAUGCGCGAAAGCGUGGGGAGCAAACGGGAUUAGAUACCCCGGUAGUCCACGCCCUAAACGAUGCGCACUAGAUUCGACUGACUCUGACGUCCGUCGGGUCGAAGCAAAAGUGUUAAGUGCGCCGCCUGGGGAGUACGGCCGCAAGGCUAAA
rnacentral:rRNA from 1 species